CUUGACCAGACACACAGCAAUUAAGAUGAAGUCGAGUGCGGAAGAGUCUACGAUGCACUAGAAUCUUCUCUUUGCAAGUAACCGACUUAUUAGAUUCUCUAUUCUUAAUCUUAUUUCAUGAAAAUUAUCGUAUUGGGCUGAAAACUUUGAUUGGGAAAGGCAAUCAUGGAGAGAAGCGGAGGGAGGUUACCGAGGGGAAUGUUGCCUCUGCUGGCAAUACACGCUGUGAGUGAGUACUAUAGGCUUCCGUGGAAACCUCCUGUCACGGCGGGGCUUCUCGCCGCCAAUACUCUCAUCUAUUUGAGACCGGCCUUCCUCCGUCCUAUUCUUCCUUCUAUCCACGACGUCUGGUUCAAUCCUUACCUUAUUCUCAAGGAUGGGGACCUCAAACGCUUCUUUCUAUCAGCAUUCUACCAUGUUGGGGAGUCUCAUCUGGUAUACAAUAUGAUGUCUCUCUUGUGGAAGGGUAUCCAGUUGGAAACUUCAAUGGGAAGUGUUGAAUUUGCAUCUAUGGUCGCUGCGUUGCUGACUAUGUCCCAGGGUAUCACACUGCUACUUGCUAAGUCCCUUCUCUUGUUCUUUGAUUAUGGCAGACCUUUUUAUUCUGAAUAUGCUGUUGGGUUUUCUGGUGUUCUAUUUGCAAUGAAAGUCGUCCUCAAUUCUCAGUCUGAUAACUAUACACAUGUGCAUGGACUAGUCGUACCAGCACGCCAUGCUGCAUGGGCUGAAUUGAUUCUUAUCCAAAUGUUUGUUCCUGGAGUCUCAUUCCUUGGCCACCUUGGUGGAAUACUUGCUGGAAUUCUCUAUCUGAAGUUGAAAGGAAUAUAUUCAGGUUCAGACCCACUGACUUUAAUCAUCAAAAAUCUUACCAGCAUAUUGAGCUGGCCUUUAAGGCUCGUGAAAGGCUUAUUUGGACCCAGGCAACAGCAGAUUUCUGGACGGGGAACUGUUGGUGGGAGUCAGGCUGGAAGGGCUGUAUUGAGGGUGUGGAGGUGCCAAGCAUGCACAUAUGAUAAUUAUAGUUCAUCAAGUGUAUGUGAAAUGUGUGGGAAUAGUUUGCCAUCAUAUCGGUUGCCACGUCAGUUUGAUGACCUUUCCUUGGAAGAGAUACGCCGGCGAAGGAUUGAAAGAUUUGGUCGAUGAACUAUCUUGGCCAAUGGAUUAUAAAAAUCUUGAGCAACAACGCAAAUAAUAAUAUCUUCUGUAACGUGACUGCUGAGGGCUCAGUGGAUGCAGAAAGGCAUUGCUUGCAUUAACUUUGUAUAACUAUGGUGGAAGUCUGGCUAGAGCUGAUGAUAUUUCAGACAGUGAAUCUCAAGGGGCGCAUUCCCAGAGACAGGAGUCACAAGUGGAUAUUGUAUCAAGCUGGAAUAUUGCUGAAUGCUUGCCCAAGACAAUUCAGGUUAAACUUCUCUGCUUUUAUAGACAUGCUUAAGGAACAACAAUGUAGGCUAACAACACUGUGUCAAGGGACAAAUGUGCAGCAGGGAAGAGAAUAUUGGUAUUUACUCAUCUGCAAUUCAAUCCAGAUGAGUGCAACUAGCUAGCAUAGAAGUAUGGGAAAUGGCAGUCCGAUAAUGUGAUCAUGUUCUCUGAGAUGGUAAAAUUUUCGACUUGGUGAUUAUAUUGGUAAAAAUUUCAUUGCUGAUGGCAACCCAUUUAAGGGGGAAACUUUCAGAGGCUCCUAAUCACCAAGUUCUUACUACCUUCCCUCUUCCAAAGAGUAUGUUAGUGGAAGGAAAGAUUGGGAGCAAUUCUGAAAGAAAAUGUAUCGUCACAAGUGAUUACAUUGAUUACAAAUUAUUUGAUGUAUUUUGUCCAAAUUGUAGAUAAAUUUUCCUCUUUUUGGCACUGAUGACUCAAAGUUACUUCAUGUAUUCCUUGUACAAUCCCCUGAUUCUUUUCAGAAAUAUAUUAGAUGGGUAGUCACAUUAUUAA